AUAUCUCUCUGUACGGGAAGGAUGAGAAGCUUCGACUAAGGUUCGAUUCGAGCGUCAGCGAGAAAGCGUUGCCGCAGGCAACGACCCGAAGGGCGAAGCGCGCAGCGCUGAGUCAUCCUUCCCCCACC
rnacentral:sRNA from 3 species